AGCUCAUGGGCAGCUGGAUUGGAU
rnacentral:siRNA from 1 species